GUAAGUAACUAACCCAGUAUCCUUUCAAAUUUAUAUGUUGUGUACCGUGCGCUAGGUUCUGAGGUCUCCGUUUAUCUUUUCAGAGUUAUUUGAAAAUACUGUUACGAUGUGUCCUUUGCCUCUUUCAGCCUUUCACCAAGGUCACAGAAAUUAUUUAAUCUCUAUCAUUGUUUCUUCCAUUUUAACUUUUUCCUGAUUUUAUGGCAAAUGCAGAAUUUAAAAGAAUCAUUUGAACAAUUUCACGUUGGAUAAAACCUGUUAUGAUGAUGUCUGGUUGUGCCAAAACUUGAUCAAGCUUUCCUCAUUUGUUUAAUUACUGCAGUUUCAGAACAGAGAAACCAUAAGGUCUUUGUGGUCGCACUGUAUUUCUGCUUCAAGUUCAAUCAUUAAAUAUUGAUUUGAAUUAGUUUCUCAUUUUUGCAACAUGGGCAAUUAUAUAUGAAAUUUUGAUCUCAGCAUAGGUGAGACAGUCAUAGAAAUAAGACAUUUGGAUGGUUUCUGGAGUGCUUUAAUAUAUCUUAGUCUCUAUUUUGAUUACUUGCUGUGUUUGGAUGGUGCAGAUUUAUUGAGCUGUACAAUUAUAGUGCAUAUACUUUUUCAGUAUUUUAUACUUCAAUAGAAAUUUUAAAAUGUCAUGAAGAGAAUCCAAAUAUUGGUUAAGAUACUUUUUAACAAUAUUGUCCAUUAGAUUAUGUGUUAUUUGCUGCAAAAUGAUCAAUGUCCUCAUAAUAGUCCAACUGUGUUGUCUAACAUAAGCAUAUUUACAAAACUGUACUAUGAAGUAUUUUUUAAUUUCAUCACAUGCGUAUGUUUUUCCAUGCUUAUGCCUAAAUUCUUUUACUUAUACCUUUUUUCUGCUAUCAGAAUCAGUGUGAUUGUUUUCUUACUACAUGCAAAGAUGUUACUCAUAGGUCUUAGGAACAAUAAAAACCUACACGCAUUGCACAGUGGAAAAAUUCAGGAAAUUUUAUUGAAAUGAAUUAAAACAUAAAGCCACAGUCAGAAUAAUAAACUGCUUGGAUUUGCAAGUCCUUCUUACCUUUUGAGAUCCUGAUACUGACUACACUCUGUGUUUCAAUUUUUAAUUCUACUUCUUCAAGUUUCUCUACUUUAGUGUAAGAUCAGAAAGUUGUAGCUGUCAAUUACUGUCACUGCUUCACUCAAGAAAUUCUAAUGAUAGAGACUAUAAGAUGAUUUACAACAGAUGUGUUUUUGAUAUUUCUUCCAUGCUUUCCAGAGGUAAAAUAUUUAGUUAUUUGCCCUACCUUAGGAAAUACAUUUUUUAUAUUGGUGGAAGUACCUGUCAAUUUGUGUAUCUAAAAUUUUCUAACAUAAAAAUCCAUUUCAUCAUAAAGGAGGUAUUAAAUAUAUAUGACAUUUUGGUAGCAAUAAUAUUGUAGAAUCUCCUGAAGUUAUACAUGUCCUAGGUCUCUAUGUCCAAAACAAUAGAUAAAUCAAGGACCCUGGUGGAUGUGAAGGACACCAUAUUUAAUUUAGCCAUUCCUUAUUUCCAGAACAAUGGUUGUUAAACAUUUUUUACUAUUGCAAAUAGCAUACGUUUGUCAUUACAAACCAGUAUUUAUGCAUUCAUGCUUCUGUUGCUGUGGGAAAUUAUUUCUAGAAACAGUAAUGCUUAAAAGUAAGGUGCAUGAAAUUUGUUUUAGUGAGAUGUAGUCAAAUCACCACUCAAAUAUUCAGGUCACUAUUGUUUCAGUAAUGUACUGGAAUGUUGAGAUAGAUUUAUAUUUUAUGUAUUUAAGGCACCAAAAAAUGUUACUAUUUAAUAUAUUUUUGUGGGGGUUUUGUUUUUGUUUUUUUGAGACAGAAUCUCACUUUGUAGUUUAGAUUGGCCUUGAACUUGCUAUAUAGCCCAGGGUGGCCUUGAACCUGAAUCCAUCCUCCUGCCUCAACCUCCCAAGUAGAAAAUAUCUUCUUAAGUGAUAUAUUUAACACUACUAAAAUAAAUUGUAGUUAAUAUAAUUAAAACUGGUAGUGCUUUAAAAAAUAUAUGCCCUUAGAGUAGUAUUUACCACUAACAGUCAUACCCAUUAAUUCCAGCAGCUUUACUACUCCUAAGUGCAAAGCAAAAUUGAAUACUAAGAUUCAGAAGUUCUGAAAGAGCACUGUCUGGGUAGGCUAAACUUAUACCUUCAAUAAUAAUAAUAUUUAUAAAGCACAAUUCAUAAAUCAGUAAUUUAAUUUUUGUGAUAGUCAAUGAAAAGAGGACAGGGACAGAAAAUUUGAGUGUAAUGAUAAAGUAGUGUUAACAUGAAGUUAGUCAAGGUAGCCUUCAUAGUAUGAACUUGGAAAAAAUUAGCAGGACAGUUCUCUGAAAUAUCUUUCAAAUUUUAAUAUUUUAAUAUAUAUAUUUAAAAUUCUAGUGUUAUAUUUUCUUUCCACAUUAUUUGAACAGAUUAAUAUUUAGUGUAUGGGAGAUAUUUCCCCUUCUUUAUCCUUAGUGCCAAUAAUACAUGCUUGAGAAUGAACAAAUAAGAAAAUAAGUGUAAAGCCACAAAUGAAGGUCUCAGGUUGAAAUAGCCAUAUAUAGGUCACAGGAUUUAAAUGUAGCACAGUGUUUGCUUAGCUUUACAGAAGUGUGCUGAGUGGUAUACACAACAUGGGCAUUAUCAUCAUGUCAUUAAAAGUUCCAAUAGGUGCUGAACCUCAUACUUUAUAUCAACAACCCUAUAAACGUUUUAUGGUUUAUUCAGAUGAGACCUGAGGGGUGUGUAUGUGCGUGUGUGUGUGUGUUCUUGACACAGAGCAGCAAGAACGUCGGGUGGCCAGUGUGCUUUGAUAUGGUCACAGCCGUGCAGAAACCACGGCACCCAGCUUUGAGAUAAGGACACAGAUCAAGUUCAGAAAACAUGGAGGUCCAAGCCUCUGUACGCAGUAUCUCACUGUAAUCUUAUGUCACUCACCUCUGUGUAUGCAGUUUGUGUGAAGACAACCCAAGAUCAUUUUGGGGCAAGCCUGUAUGAGUAGUAAAAUUGUUAUUUAUUUACUUACCAUAAAAUGAUAAUCAGAUUAAGAGACUGUGGCACAGUGGUCGUGGUGGAAUACGGAUUGCAAGGUCAUAUUCACUGAGCAUUCUUGAAAACUUCAGAGCGUUCAGAGAGAGACUUCUGAAAACAGCACCUAUGAGGAAAGUCUUAUACAGCUAUUAACCACAUCAGUCUCUCUCAUCAGAAACUUCCAGACUAGGAGAGAGCGGAAUGAUACAUCUGAACGUGUUGGAAGAAAAAAACCCUGCCAACCAGGAACGCUUUACCUAAAAAUAGUCCUUCAAAACUGAAGGAGAUGAUGUUUUCUCCAGUGCCUGGACAGGAGUGCUGAGAGUGGACAACCUUGUUUCAUUCCUGACUUUAGAGGCAGUGCUUUCUGUUUUUCCCAUUUGAUGUAUUGUCUGUGGGUUUCUAUAUAUAUACAGACUUCAUUAUUUUGAGGUAAAACUCUUCUGUAACCUGUUUCUUCAGGACUGUUAUCAUGAAGGAAUGUUGAAUUUUCUUAAACGAUUUUGAUGCAUCAAUUGAGGUGGUCAUUUUUUUCUUGAUUCUGUUUAUAUUGUGUAUUACAUUUCUUGAUUUGCAUAUGUUGGACCAAUCUUUUAUUCCUGGAAUGAAACCAAUUUCAUGGUAACACAUGAUCUUUUCAAUGAGCUUAAUGAAUCCUAUUUGUAAGAUUUUAUUGAAAAUUUUUCCAUCUGUGUUCAUCUAGGAUAUUGACCUAUAGUUUUAUCUUGAAUUUUUAUCUGUUUUUGGUAUCAGGGUAAUACUUGUUUCCUUCUCUGUUCCCUGGAAUGAUUUGAGGAGAAUUGGUGUUAGUCUUCUUUAAAUGUCUGCCAAAUUACAGCAGCAAAUCACCCAGUCCUGGCCUCUUCUUAUUGGGAGACUUUACUGCUGCUUCAAUCUCACUGCUUGUUAUUGAUCUGUUGAAGUUUUCUGUUGAAACUCUAUUCCAUUUUGGAAGCUUAUAUGUAUAAAUAAAUGUCUCUACUUCUAGAUUUUCCAAUUUAUAGAAUAUAAAUUUUCAAGAUAAUUCCUAACCAUCCUCUGGAUUUCUGUGGUAUCUAUUUUAAUAUCACUUUUCCUUCUUUAAUUUUAUUAAUUUGUGU
rnacentral:lncRNA from 1 species